ensembl:lncRNA
GCCCCACUGUCUGAUUCAUAUCGCUUGAUUUCUGAUUAUAUCGACUGAUUGCUGUUAUUGUACAGGGUGCACCAUUCUAUUCAUGAGCACGAAAAAAAAACGAGCAGGCUAUUUCUGGUUAGGCUACGUUUCAAAGAUAAUGAAAGUGAAAGGGUGUUGUCUAACAUAGGCUAGAUAGGUUAACCUACACGACAUAUUGUUCUGCAGUCCCUAUACGUUUUCUUCAAGCAUGGAUAAAUUGAGAAAGAUAAGGAUAGUUCUGACAGAAAUCUUGUCAGCGGAAGCCAGUUACAUCCUUCAGCAUGUAAACCAGGAGGACCUGGUGACUCCACGCGAAUACAGGAGCCUGCACAAUGUCAGUAAAAUACAUCCAGAAGAUUCCAUUGUCAGUCUGCUGGAUUCACUCCUAAUGAAAGGAGGAGAUGAGAGAUGCACUAGAUUCCUGACCCUGUUGCAGGAGCCAGUCAUCAGAUCAACCUACCCCAAACUGGAAGAAAUCAAACACAUCGACAUAGCUCCGGCACCCAGUAGCCCAGCACCCCCAGACGCUGUCCGAACCUCUGCCUCCUCCACAGUCCACACCUGUCGCCCAACCACAUCAGGUUCAAGCAUUUCAACUACUCCUGUGAAAAAUAAUAACCGGAGAAGUACCACUGCGUGUGGAACCAUCACAGACGUUUCUGAAGUGAAGAUGGGGAAGGCGGGGGGGAAAUACUACCAAGCUGUUCUAAACCAAGAGGAUGGGCCCAUGGUCAUUCUCAUUUUGGAUCUAGAGAAACGAAAUAACUUUCUAGGAGCAGAGAAGAGAAGGUCUUCUGUAAAGUUGAAGAGAAUCUCAUUCGAGAAACUUGGAAUAAACAAGUACCAAGAGGGGAUAAAGUUCACAAACAAAUCCAAAUUGACUUACACAAGAGCCAAAAACACUAUAAAGAUGGAACCCACUGCUGAUGAAAAAGAAUAAACACAUUUUUUUUUAAACUAGAAUGACAUUUUAAGGAUGACCUACUGACCAGACCAGAGGCAAUUCAUUAACUACCUAGCCUACAUUAUGUAAAUACAGUGCCUUCAGAAAGUAUUCACAUCGCUUAACUUUUUCCACAUUUAGUUGUAUUACAAGGUGGGAUUAAAAUUGAUUUGUCAUUUUUUGUCAGUGACCUACACACAAUCCUCUGUAGUGUCAAAGUGGAAGAAAAAUUCGAACUUUUGUAAAAAAAAAAAAAACAUGAAAAAUACAACAUUAAUAUAUCUUGAUUGCAUAAGUAUUCAACCCCCUGAAUAAAUUGGGGUUAUGUUAUGUUAAUAAUUUCUGGCAACAAUUACAGCUGUGAGUUUUUGGGUAAAUCUCUUAAGAGCUUUGCACACCUGGAUAAUACAAUAUUUGCACGUUAUUCUUAUUUUAAUUCUUUAAGCUCUGUCAAGUUGUUUGUUGAUCGUUGCUAGACAGCCAUUUUCAUGUCUGCCAUAGGUUUUAAGCCAAUUUAAGUCAAAACUAUAACUAGCCAACUCAGGAACAUUCAAGGUCGUCUUGGUAAGCUACUCCAGUGUAUAUUUUACAUUGUGUUUUAGGUUAGUGUCCUGCUGAAAGGUGAAUUUGUCUCUGAGUCUUAUGGAAAGCAGAUCGAACAAGCUUUUCCUCUAGGAUUUUGCCUGUGCUUAGCUCUAUUCCGUUUCUUUUUAUCCAAAAAAACCCUCCUUAGUCCUUGCCCAAUGACAAGCAUACCCACAACAUGAUGCAGCCACCACCAUGCUUGAAAAUAUUAAGACUGGUACUCAAUGAUGUGUUGUGUUAGAUUUGCUGCGAACAUAACACUUUAUAUUUAGGACAUAAAGUUAAUUUCUUUUCCACAUUUUUUUCAGUUUUACUUUGGUGCUUUAUUGCAAACAGGAUGCAUGUUUUAGCUUGUACAAAAUAAAAUAUUCUUUCUUCUUUUCACUCUGUAAUUUAGGUUAUUAUUGUGGAGUAACUACAAUGUUGUUGAUCCAUCCUCAGUUUUCGCCUAUCACGGUCAUUAAACUCUGUAACUGUUUCAAAGUCCCUGAGUGGUUUCCUUCCUCUCCGGCAACUGAGUUAGGAAGGAUGCCUGUAUUUUUGUAGUGACUGGGUGUAUUGAUUCACCAUCCAAACUGUAAUGAAUAACUUUACCAUACUAAAAGGUAUAUUCAAUAUCUGUCUUUAGGGAUAUUCAAUAUCUGUCUUUCACAUUUUUACCAAUCUACCAAUAGGUGCCUUUCUUUGCGAGGCAUUGGAAAACCUCCAACUUAUUAUGUGACUUGUUUACUUCUGAACUUAUUUAGGCUUGCCAUAACAAAUACUUAUUGACUCAAGACAUUUCAGCUUUUCAUUUUUUAUUAAUUUGCAAAAAUUUUGAACAUUUUGAGAAAAACAUUAUUCCACUUUGACAUUAUGGGGUAUUAUGUGUCGACCAAUGAUACAACAUCUCAAUUUAAUCAAUUUUAAAGGCUGUAGCACAACAAAAUAAAGAAAAAGUCAAGGGGUGUGAAUACUUUUUGAAGGCACUGUAUAUAUUUGUGUAUUUCAAGUAGCCAUUAGAGUUCCACACUUCCCUUAGGGCUUAGAACUCUACAAUGAUGAUACCAAUCACCAUAUCAAACCACUUGCCUAAUAAUGUGUAGCCCACUGCAGCUCAAAGAAAAUUGAGUAGUUACAGGUCAACUGUGUAUUAGCAUAUUGUUUGUGAAAUAAUUGUCACAACACAGAAUAACUAUUCCAACACAGUAGUAGCCUACUGUUUUUACAAAAUCACUAUUGGACUAGUGCUGAAUGCUCAUAGGCAGUUUUUGAAAAUGUCUUUAAUUUCUUCUCUUUUACCACAAGAUGGUACCACAAGAUGGGUGUUGAAAGUUACAUUUAAUGGCUGAACCACUUCACCUGCUGUGGACACUGUUCAAUAUUUGUUUUACUGUAACACCAGUUGGUUCAGCAUUAAUCUAAUUUACCAUUCUAAGGUACUAUGAGAAGUUCUAAGUUUCUCUUUUUGUUAUGGAUCCUUUUUUUUACGCAUUGUAUUUUCUCUACGUAAUGCACAUUUCUGUGAACAACAGACCAUAAAGUAAUAUCUCAUCUAAA